GUGAGCUUGAAAACGUGAUUAUUAUUGCCCUUGAUGGAGUCUGCCUGCAAACAGGAUAUUCUGUCAAGGUCUAGAUAAGGUGACAGCAAAUUAUGCUUGCAUAUGAGAUGUUUUGUUGUCUUUGUUGGGGCUUACUUGCAAACGAGAGGUACCUUCACAGUUUAGAUAAGGUAACAUUGGACAUGCUUGAAAAAGAGGUGUGUACUGUCCUUGGGAGGACUUGCCUGCAAACGGGAUGUUCUGCCAAGUGGGCUAGGAGGGCGCCAAGAAAAAAUUUUUUUUUUAUCUGUUCUUGACAAAGAGCAGAGCUCAGCAUGCUCAGGCCAAGAGUAGAUUAGCCAUGAGAAGCAGAUCACUUCUGAUUAGAAAGUAAAACUUCUGUAUGCUAUGUUUAACUAGCUAAAAGACCUGCUAUAAAAAGAUUGCUGUAUACAAUAAAAGACUUUUUUUCUUCUGCUGCUUUGCUUGCUCUGCUUCUUCUUUCUUCUCAAGCUGACCUGCGAGUGAAUUACUGCAACAUUUGGCAUGUGAGCAGGAUCCAGCACAGAAAGGGUAAAACACCAUUCUGGGUACCUUCAAUACUUAUCAAAUUGGGAAUGAGCGACCCAUUUGUCAGACAAUUUCAGGAGCUGGCAAUGCAGAGAACUUCUACAAUGGCAAUGAGAACAGCAGACCCCCCAACAUGGGGACAGAUGAAAAAGUUGACUCAAGAAGCUGAAAAAAAUCUUCAAAAGGCAAAUCAGCCUUUAAAUCUUGUUAAUCUUUUAUUAGCUAUGCUUGCAGUUAUUAAUUGCCAGGUAAGUAUAGUUUCUGCUCAUUCUUUUGCUUAUUGGGCCUAUGUUCCUAACCCUCCUUUGGUGCACAGUGUUUCCUGGGAGAACCUAAAGUUUGUGUGUGUAAUAAUAAUACUAAUUUUCCCCCCCUCCUGUAUGUGUGGGAAUUAAAGCUAUUCCAUUCCAUAAAAAUCUGUAUAAUAUUUCUAAGAUAACUAGCUGUUGAAGGAGUUCCAUUGUGUAUAGGGACUCGUUCUUUCUGUUUGCCUUUUAUAGCACAUACCAGUUCUCAUUCCUAUAAUACUUGGGGAAUUAAUUAUCAUAGUUAUUCUACUGCUGUUUUUACUGUCAUGAUAUCUUCCGAGGAUUUAAUACCUCUAAUAUGUAUGUUAAUCAAUCAUUGCUAACAUCUGAAAAAUGUUUUAUCAGAACUCAUCUUCCUUUAUGUUCAGCUAAAUACUUUGAAACCUUUUUAACUCAUUUAGAGUGGGAAAAAUGUCGUGAUCAUCACCCUAAAACAGUAGUUAAAUAUCAAAAUAUCACUAUAGUUGAUUGGAGUCCUGAUCAUUCUAAGUUUAUAAAAAGUUGGUCAAAUCGUACUUUAAGAUGGCAUCAACAUAAUGGGACAAUAAAUGCUUGGGGUAAUGAGACAAUUAAAAUGCAACAUUAUGCUUUGGUCCCUCCAAUGUUACAGCAUACAAAGUUUUCCAAUAUUCAAGGGGAUAUAUAAAAAUUAUGGGAAGUAUCUGGGAAACUCACUGUAUGGACUGGAAAUUUCACAUUAGAUGUAUCCCAUUCCUCUCCUUUUGAAGUACAUCUAUAUAAUAAUCUGACUUAUUUUGCUUCUGCAUAUGUUAAAUUCCCUUAUUCUCUUAUGAUUGGAAACUGUGAUUGGAAUGAAACUUGGGGAACAAGAUCAUGUAUAGACUGUUAUCUUACUCAAUGUGUAAAUAGAACUAAUUGGGAAUUAAUAGAAAUUAAUAAUUAUUCUUUAGUUAUUAUUAAAGCUCGCACAGAAUUUUGGGUGCCUGUUAAUUUGACUUGUCCUUGGUCUGAUUCAUUGUCUGUUACUCAUUUGUACAAUGCUGUUCAAGUUUUGUUACAUCACUCUCGAUGAUUGGCAGGAAUAGUUAUAGCUUCUAUCCUUGCAGUUGCUUCUGUAACUGCCACUGCUGCAGUAGCUGGCAUUGCUUUACAUCAAGGCAUUCAAACUGCGGAUUUCGUGAGAACAUGGCAUCAAGAUGCUCAUUUAUUAUGGCAACAACAAAAGGACUUAGACUCUCAAUUGGCUACAGAUGUGAUACAUUUACAACAUACUGUUUCCUGGCUUGGCGAUAAAGUGACUAUCUUGGCUACCAGAAAUGUUCUAAAGUGUGACUGGAAUUCUUCUCAUAUUUGUGUGACUCCUGGGCCAUAUAAUACCAGUGAUUCCUGGGAAACUGUUAAAAGAUGGUUAAAUGGACAUCAAAAUUUAACUUUUGAAAUUAUGAAUUUGGAAAAAACUAUUAUUGACACCUUUAGUAAGACAUUACCUGAACUAACAGGAUCUGAUAUUUUACAAAAAUCAUCUUCAAGUAUUGCUAAUUUAAAUCCUUUAAGUCAUUUCUCUACCUUGUUGUCAACUUCUUUAGGUAACACUGUAAUAAUUUUUGUUUUGUGUUUUGUUUUGUAUAUAGUCUUCCAACGCUGAAAAAAGUGAAGGCAACUGAAACAUGAAACCUCUCUUAUUGCUUCUGCUAUGGCUCAUUUACAAAAACAGAAGGAGGGAGAUGUAGAGAAUCAGAUGUGACUGUGAGCUUGAAAACGUAAUUAUUAUUGCCCUUGAUGGAGUCUGCCUGCAAACGGGAUAUUCUGUCAAGGUCUAGAUAAGGUGACAGCAAAUCAUGCUUUCAUAUGAGAUGUUUUGUUGUCUGUUGGGGUUUACUCGCAAACGAGAGGUUUCUUCAAAGUUUAGAUAAGGUAACAGUGGACAUGCUUGAAAACGAGGUGUCUACUGUCCUUGGGAGGACUUGCCUGCAAAGGGAAUGUUCUCCCAAGUGGGCUAGGAGGGCACUAAGAAAAAUUUUUUUAUCUGUUCUUGACAAAGAGCAGAGCUCAGCAUGCUCAGGCCAAGAGUAGAUUAGCCAUGAGAAGCGGGUCACUUCUGAUUAGAAAGUAAAACUUCUGUAUGCUAUGUUUAAUUAGCUAAAAGACCUGAUUUAUUGCUGGCAGAAGGCUGCCUUCUUUGUUCACAAUACUAUAAAAAAGAUUGCUGUAUACAAUAAAAGACUUUUUUUCUUCUGCU